CCGCGCCGCCUCUGGCUUCCAGGGGGCGCUCCUCGUCCCGCAGAUCCUCCCCGGGCACUGAGUGGGGUCCCCGCCUAGGCACGCGGCCUGCUCCCGGCGCGCAGAACUCCAGUCACUGAGAUGUCUAAUCCAUGUCUGCAACAGACGGGGGCUCCAGAAAGAUUCUAUGUGCCUGUGCGUCUACCCUCAGACUAAGUUUCUCGCAGCCCCGUAACUCUUUAACCCUUCGGAAUGGAGCUUUAGUGGUAGAACACGUCUCCACCAAAGUGGGAGCUUCCUGAGGACGGGGGCGGAAUUUCAGAUUGGAGCUAGGAGGUCAAGGCCGGAGUCUCCUUCAUCCCAGGGGGCGAGGCCGGGUCCGGUGCUGAGCCUAUCUCCUCCCUCAGGCGGUGAGGCCCCUCCCCCACUAGUAUAGCUCCCUGCCCACAGGGGGCGCUAAGGGCCCAGAGGACUGACCUACAGAUGGGUCCUGGUUUCUGGCGCUCUGGGCUGGCAGGUCCUCUGGGGUUGAUGCACCUGAGGAUUUGGGGGGUGGGGUCCCCAGCCUGUGUGGCUCCUGACUUGGCCCUUGCUCUGGCAGUCGAGGCCAGGCCUGCCGGCGCCAGAAGCUGUGGCCAACAGUGUGGGAGAAGCUCUGAGUCAGGGAUCGUGCCAGGAAGGAACCGUGUGGCCCUAGGUGCCGAAGGGCCCUGUCCACGCCCCUCUCUCCCCAUAACCACAGCAGCCAAGCCCCCUGCCUCAUUAGCCUCACUAAAGGCCACUGCCCAGCCUUUGCUUGCUCUGUUCUGUCUGAAGCACCUGCUCUUCCAGUCCUCAAGGACACCUGAGGUCUCACCACUUCUGAAUGCUCUGACCUUCAACAGAGUAGGUAUGGCCAGGUGGAUCAUUUAACUCCUGAGGACCUCCGCAAUAACAUCUGUAAAAUGGGAAUGAUGAGAACACCAUUUAAACUUGGCUGUGAAGUUUAAAUGAGCUCACCCUCAGGAUUCAGGAGGCAAGGCCCCGCUUGCCUACUCGGGCUAGCCCUAAGCACUUCUUCAGCCACGGCAGGGAGCCAGGCCUGCCACCGUGCCGCCUUACUGCCCUCUUCAGCAAAUCUGGCAAGAUCUCUAGAACCGUGAACGCAGGGGACGCAUGCACACAUGCUCAUAUACAGGUGCCCGUGGCCAUAGAAGCACAACCAGAGCCACCAACGUAGACAUGUCCUGGCAAGCACAUGCACACACACAUGGUGCUCCCUCACACUAUACACACCCACACAGACACUCAUGUAUACUCACAUAUAAACCUGCUGAGUCAUACUUGUUGUUGUUGGUUGAAUGUGUCCCUCAAAAGAUAUGUUGAAGUCUAACCCCCACUAUCUGGGAACUUGACCUUAGUCCCAAAUAAGGUCUUCAUAGAUAUAAUCAGGUUAAGAUCAGUUAGGGUGGACCCUAAAUUCAAUGACUAGUGUCCUUCUAGGAGGCUGUUUCUUCUCCUUCUAGGGAGAGAAAAAUUUGUAGACACAGACACAGAGACACACAGGGAAGAAAGUCAUGUGGUGAUGGAGGCAGAAAUUGUAGAGAUGCAGCUACAAGCCAAGGAACCCCAAGGAUUGCCUGCCACCACCAGAAGCUAGGAAAGAGGCAUGAUGACUCUCCCUCAGAACAUCCAGAAUAAACAAACCCCGCCAACUCCUUGAUUUCGGACUAUGGCCUCUUUAACUACGAGAGACUAAAUUCCUGUUGUAAGCCACCAAGUUCAUCAUAGUUUGUUAUGGCAGCCCAAGGAAAUGAAUAUAAUCAUACUCUCUCUCUCUCUCUCUCUCUCUCACUUUCUCUCACAUACACACACACCAACACACAUACCAACACACACACACACAAAGUGGCUGGCUCUGGGCUCAGUGAUGAGGUUGAUGGAGUUUCAUCUUGGGUGUACCUCUGUGUCUGUCUUCCUUUCCCUGUGAGUGUCUGGUGGACCCAAAAAAGCUCAUGGCCCAGGAUAGGAGCUCAAUAAGUUUUCAUUUUUUAAUUAAAAAAAAUUGAAGUAUAGUUGAGAUACAAUGUUGUAUUGGUUUCCAUGUAUCCAGUGUAGUGACUCAAUGGUCCAGUACAUUACCCAAUGCUCACCAAGAUAAGUAGAUGAUAAGUAAGAUGGUAGUCACCGUCUGUCACCCUGCAAUGUUAUUGCAGUAUCAUCGGCUAUUGGCUAUAUUCCCUCUGCUGUACUUUUCAUCCUCGUGACUUAUUUAGUUUAUAGCUGAGAGUUUGUACCUCUUAAUCCCUUUCACCUUUUCUGCCCAUUCCCCAACCCCAGUUUGUUCUCUGUAUUUAUGAAUCUGUUUAUGUUUGUUUGUUCCUUUGUUUUGUUUUUUUAGAUUCCACAUAUAAGUGAAAUCGUAUGGUAUUUGUCUUUCUCUGUCUGACUUAUUUCACUUAGCAUAAUACCCUCCGCAUCUAUCCAAGGAGCUCAGAGCAAUAUUUAAUCUCUCUGUUCCUCCCUGGAGUUCUUAAUGACGCAUCCACCCCCAAUAUGCUCUCCAGAAGGGGUUGCCAUGUUUAUGUGAUCAAAAGACGUGUCUCAGAAUGCUACGGCUGCUGUAAUCAUAUUACAUCAAGAGUA